CAGUAGCCGCGGUAAUACGGAGGGUGCAAGCGUUAAUCGGAAUUACUGGGCGUAAAGCGCACGCAGGCGGUCUGUUAAGCAGGAUGUGAAAUCCCCGGGCUCAACCUGGGAACUGCGUUCUGAACUGGGUGACUAGAGUGUGUCAGAGGGAGGUAGAAUUCCACGUGUAGCAGUGAAAUGCGUAGAGAUGUGGAGGAAUACCGAUGGCGAAGGCAGCCUCCUGGGAUAACACUGACGUUCAUGCCCGAAAGCGUGGGUAGCAAACAGGAUUAGAUACCCGCGUAGUCCCUGUCUCUUAUAC
rnacentral:rRNA from 1 species